CAGCCGCCGCGGGAAUACGUAGGUCCCGAGCGUUGUCCGGAUUUAUUGGGCGUAAAGCGAGCGCAGGCGGUUAGAUAAGUCUGAAGUUAAAGGCUGUGGCUUGACCAUAGUACGCUUUGGAAACUGUUUAACUUGAGUGCAAGAGGGGAGAGUGGAAUUCCAUGUGUAGCGGUGAAAUGCGUAGAUAUAUGGAGGAACACCGGUGGCGAAAGCGGCUCUCUGGCUUGUAACUGACGCUGAGGCUCGAAAGCGUGGGGAGCAAACAGGAUUAGAUACCCCAGUAGUCCCUGUCUCUUAUACA
rnacentral:rRNA from 1 species